rnacentral:misc_RNA from 1 species
GAUGAAGAACGUAGCGAAAUGCGAUACGUAGUGUGAAUUGUAGAAUUCAGUGAAUCAUCGAAUCUUUGAACGCACAUUGCACCUCUCGGUAUUCCGGGAGGUAUGCCUGUUCGAGCGUCAUUUGUACCCUCAAGCUCUGCUUGGUGUUGGGUGUUUGUUCCGCCUCUGUGUGUGAACUCGCCUCAAAACAAUUGGCAGCCGGCGUACUUGUUUCGGAGCGCAGCACAUUUUGCGAUCCAGAUCAACGUACAGCGGCAUCCAAGAAGCCUUAUUUAACGCUCUUGACCUCGGAUCAGGUAGGGAUACCCGCUGAACUUAAGCAUAUCAAUAAGCGGAGGA